CCUACGCGCGGCAGCAGUGGGGAAUAUUGCACAAUGGGCGCAAGCCUGAUGCAGCCAUACCGCGUGUGUGAAGAAGGCCUUCGGGUUGUAAAGCACUUUCAGCGGGGAGGAAGGCGUUAAGGUUAAUAACCUUGUCGAUUGACGUUACCCGCAGAAGAAGCACCGGCUAACUCCGUGCCAGCAGCCGCGGUAAUACGGAGGGUGCAAGCGUUAAUCGGAAUUACUGGGCGUAAAGCGCACGCAGGCGGUCUGUCACGUCGGAUGUGAAAUCCCCGGGCUCAACCUGGGAACUGCAUUCGAAACUGGCAGGCUAGAGUCUUGUAGAGGGGGGUAGAAUUCCAGGUGUAGCGGUGAAAUGCGUAGAGAUCUGGAGGAAUACCGGUGGCGAAGGCGGCCCCCUGGACAAAGACUGACGCUCAGGUGCGAAAGCGUGGGGAGCAAACAGGAUUAGAUACCCUUGUAGUC
rnacentral:rRNA from 1 species